ACAGCCGCCGCGGUAAUACGGAGGGUGCGAGCGUUGUUCGGAAUCACUGGGCGUAAAGCGCGUGUAGGCGGCCUUUUAAGUCUGAUGUGAAAGCCCGGGGCUUACCCCCGGAAGGGCAUUGGAAACUGGGAGGCUCGAGUACCGGAGAGGAAGGUGGAAUUCCUGGUGUAGCGGUGAAAUGCGUAGAUAUCAGGAGGAACACCGGUGGCGAAGGCGGCCUUCUGGACGGAUACUGACGCUGAGACGCGAAAGCGUGGGGAGCAAACAGGAUUAGAUACCCUGGUAGUCCACGCGGUAAACGAUGGGCACUAGGUGUUCGGGGUAUUGACCCCCUGAGUGCCGCAGCUAACGCAUUAAGUGCCCCGCCUGGGGACUACGGCCGCAAGGUUAAAACUUAAAGGAAUUGGCGGGGGA
rnacentral:rRNA from 1 species